AGCGUAGACGGUGUGGCAAGUCUGAUGUGAAAGGCAUGGGCUCAACCUGUGGACUGCAUUGGAAACUGUCAUACUUGAGUGCCGGAGGGGUAAGCGGAAUUCCUAGUGUAGCGGUGAAAUGCGUAGAUAUUAGGAGGAACACCAGUGGCGAAGGCGGCUUACUGGACGGUAACUGACGUUAAGGCUCGAAAGCGUGGGAGCAAACA
rnacentral:rRNA from 1 species